AAGUUAAUUAAUUUACAAAAAAGGGAUGCGGUCACUUUCGGAGUAAUACACGGAAUCAUCAUUCUCAUCUUCUGCAUCGUCUGCUUCAUCACCAUGGAAGGCGCCUGCUGUAAAAACCGCCGCUCCCUGCAUUAGAUCAAUCAGAUGUCGUUCUCAACUAUAAGACUCGUGAUUCUGUUUCUGGAUCUGUGCGUAGAGACACCGGACUCUCUCACUCAACGCCGGCGUGUGAGGAUCACGUGCAUCAUGACGGAGGUGCGUGUAGUCACUUGCAUGAUCACGAUCAUCAUCAUGAGGUGGUGAAGAUGAAGUUGCCGGAGGAGCUGGUUGAGGAAGAGGAUAUGAGGUUAUGUGGGUUUGAGCCUUGUCUUCAUCAUGACCAUGAUCAUGAAUCAAGUUCUAAUAUUUCUGGAUUUGCAUUUUGGUUAGCUUGGCGUCGCUCUUUUGUCUGAUAUUGCUGCCAGUUAUGUUCGUCUACAGUUCAAGGGAAGCCUGCAAAAUGGUUUGUUGAUGCAUUGGCUUGACACACAACUGCAGCAGAUUUGGCCAGAUCACCCUAUCCUAUUUGACUUCUGGCGAAGAGUUAAUGUGGACAGGAAAGUAUGGAGCUCGACUUGUUCUUCUGAUCUAGCUGGUCGAAGAAUCCAUCUGUCUUGGUCAUACAAUUAAUGGACACCAAGUCUAGAGGCAGAUCUUCCCAAGAAUGUUCAAAGAUUACCCUUAGAAGACCAGUUAUGGUGCCAAAACAGUCAGAUUCUGUGGAUAGGAAAGCAUGGAGAGCAACCAGAUAACAUGGAUAUAUAACUUAAUCUGAUAUAUAUUCUGUUUAUUUUGUUGCUUUUAUACGACCAUAUGUGUAUUACAUGGCUCAUCGAGAUAGAAAUAAGGAAGCAAAGCGAUGACUUUUCUCCAACUGUUCUGCAACAAUUUAAUCACCUGAAUCAUCUUCAUCUAAGGUAAAAGUGUCAAACCUUCACAAGAGAAAGCAUCAGAUCACUGCGUUAUUCAUGGACAUGAAGAAGAUCAUGCCUUCUUCUUAAACACGUUUGCUCUUGCUUUGCCUAUCCAUCUUUCUCAUCGCUUCAACUGAUAAGAUCACUCCACUGCUCAACUUGGUAUCUCUAGUCACCCUUUUUACAUUUUUUAUAUCUUUUGUUUUGAGAAAUUUUUCAGAGGUGAUGAUGGUGGAAGGAAGAGUUUGCCAGAGGCGAAGCCAGACAUGGACAGGAUUUUGUGGCAACACUCGCGGCUGUGACAUUCAGUUUAAGAGAUGGGAACGGGCUUCACACGGGGCUUGUCAUGCUCAGUUCGCAUGUUUUUGCUACUUCAACUGCUGAAGCAAGCAGAAAGUUCUCUGAAUCUUCUUCAAGUGUCACGGUGUUGUCUUCUUUUGUUCUGUUGCGAAUCAUGUACGUAGUCUCUAUGACAAAACCAUAACGUUUACCGUGGGUUCUAAUAAAAUCCAGUUUGUGCUUGGGAGUUACCAUUA